CCUACGGGAGGCAGCAGUGAGGAAUAUUGGUCAAUGGGCGAGAGCCUGAACCAGCCAAGUAGCGUGAAGGAUGACUGCCCUACGGGUUGUAAACUUCUUUUAUAAAGGAAUAAAGUGAGGCACGUGUGCCUUUUUGUAUGUACUUUAUGAAUAAGGAUCGGCUAACUCCGUGCCAGCAGCCGCGGUAAUACGGAGGAUCCGAGCGUUAUCCGGAUUUAUUGGGGUUAAAGGGAGCGUAGAUGGGUUGUUAAGUCAGUUGUGAAAGUUUGCGGCUCAACCGUAAAAUUGCAAUUGAUACUGGCAGUCUUGAGUACAGUAGAGGUAGGCGGAAUUCGUGGUGUAGCGGUGAAAUGCUUAGAUAUCACGAAGAACUCCGAUUGCGAAGGCAGCCUACUAAACUGCAACUGACAUUGAUGCUCGAAAGUGUGGGUAUCAAACAGGAUUAGAUACCCUGGUAGUC
rnacentral:rRNA from 1 species